rnacentral:rRNA from 1 species
UGGGGAAUUUUGGACAAUGGGCGAAAGCCUGAUCCAGCAAUGCCGCGUGUGUGAAGAAGGCCUUCGGGUUGUAAAGCACUUUUGUCCGGAAAGAAAUCCUUGGCUCUAAUACAGUCGGGGGAUGACGGUACCGGAAGAAUAAGCACCGGCUAACUACGUGCCAGCAGCCGCGGUAAUACGUAGGGUGCAAGCGUUAAUCGGAAUUACUGGGCGUAAAGCGUGCGCAGGCGGUUUGCUAAGACCGAUGUGAAAUCCCCGGGCUCAACCUGGGAACUGCAUUGGUGACUGGCAGGCUAGAGUAUGGCAGAGGGGGGUAGAAUUCCACGUGUAGCAGUGAAAUGCGUAGAGAUGUGGAGGAAUACCGAUGGCGAAGGCAGCCCCCUGGGCCAAUACUGACGCUCAUGCACGAAAGCGUGGGGAGCAAACAGGAUUAGAUACCCUGGUAGUCCACGCCCUAAACGAUGUCAACUAGUUGUUGGGGAUUCAUUUCCUUAGUAACGUAGCUAACGCGUGAAGUUGACCGCCUGGGGAGUACGGUCGCAAGAUUAAAACUUCAAAUGAAUUGAC